CCGGAGGCCUGCAGCGGGCCGGGCGCGGAGCCGGGAUGGGGACGGGGAUGGGGACGGGGAUGGGGACGGGGAUGGGGCGGCCCCGCCGGCAGCCGCCUCCCUGGAGUCUCGGAGAGCCGCCCUCAGCCCCGGCGGCAGCGCUGCCCCGCAGCUCUAGUGUGGUCACAGCUAUCAAACAACCAUCACUGGCAUCGUACGUGGAACCCUGCACAGAUGCUGCUCCAAAGUCCCCAACAGCAGAAGGACACGGAGCUGUUGGAGCGGGGCCAGAGGAGGCCACGGAGAUGCUGGGAGGGCUGGAGCCCCUCUGCUGUGAGGACAGGCUGAGAGAGUUGGCGAGCUUCAGCCUGGAGAAGAGAAGGCUCCGGGGAGACCUUAGAGCCCCUUCCAGUCCCUAAAGGGGACACAGGAAAGAAAUUAGUCAUCAAAGCGAUUCUCGGUGGUGACGGUCCCAUGGAUUUUGGAAAGUGGUGUCUAUCUCUUUACUUGUUUUAAGACCAGGACUUCCUGGAUGAUGAGAGUUUACCAAGAUUUCUCUCUCUGCUCAGCUAAUAAAUGAAGAUUUACUUAUCAAAAUGAAAAUAAGCAAAACCUCUGACCCGGUGCACUCCUCUGGAUCUGUAAGUGACUUCCUUUUUCACAUACAUCUUUGCCUCUGCCAACCUUUUUAGGAAAAAGGUUUCCACACUCUAGGCAGGGGGGUUGGAGGAAUUACAGACAUUUUGCUCUAUUCAGUAGCGCAAGAAAUGGUCACUGACACAAGAAUUAAACAAUUACUACAGAACACUCAGUGUUGGCUUAUCACAAAAUGUCAACCAGCCUCGGAGACGCCAACCUGGAUUGCUGCAGACAAUGCCGUGCUGGUAUUUAUGGCAUUUUUUGGCUUUCGUUUGCCAACACCCGUUAAGAAUUAUCCCAGUGGUCCCGGUUCAGCAGGACCAGACAGGCGAUGGCGUCCAUCACAACACAGUGGAGAGGCUUGCGCUUGGCACCGCGCAUCCCUAAAGGCGCACCCAAGUCCUGCCCAACAGGAUUUACGGAGUGCCAGCAUGCUGCCAAGGUCCGCCCAGCCUAAGGGCCUGCAGAAAUUUAAACAGGGAUUAUCUUAAAAUGGCAGAAAACAAGCAAAGGCCAUAUCCUGUCACCGAAGCAGAGCAGCUGGCGUGGGCUCAGUGCUGCUAGACCUGAAGCACAACCCCGUGCUGUGGGGCCCGAUGCCCUUGGAGACACCCAAGGCUUUGAGUAGCUCAAGCCCCAUUGCCAUGACCCAGCACGUGGGGGGUCCCACCUUCCCCCCCCAGCUCAGAGCCCUGGGCUGGCUCCUCUUCCCGCUCUCCAGGGAACUCGCUCCCCGGGCACGGGAGAGCUGUGGGAAGCGGCUGGGAUGGGGAGGAUGGCACAGCUGAAAUCCAGAGACCCGCCCAAAGGACAUUGUUUUUGUUUGAACCUGUCCUGACAGAAAGGUUGAAGCCUGAGCAAUGUAACUACCAGGAAGGUAUUUUUCUUAUUUUUUUUAGUUUGAAACAGCAGUUUUUCAAGCUCAACUUGAACAAUGCGGCCUGACGGAGUUGCUGACUUUUCACACAGCAAAAAGUAAAAACCCAGGAGUUUGUUUUAAGACGAUAGCCCUGUGCUUGCUGCAGAGCUGCCCUCAGAGCUGCUACACCACCCACCCCUCCCGCUGCACGAGGGGAACCACCAGCGUUUAUCAGAGACGUGGUCACGUGGCAGCGAAAACCCCGCGCCAAGGACACGGUAAAGCCUGGGCUGACCUCCUCUCACUCCUCCCACACGUCUCCUUUGGCUGCACCCAUUGCUCCCCUCAUGCUGGAGCGGUCAUCCAAGGUCCCCAGCAACCCCAAAGCAGAACAAAGAGCAGGGCCAAGGCCAGUUAAGAAGACCAGAUCCCUUCCUUCACUGGGCGGCAAGCAUCAGUGAGCGGCAUGUUUUCCCCAUGCCAGUAACAAGGAAAACGCUUCUGCUCCCCUCAUUCAGCAGCACUUGCAUCAGCAAGAUACGUGGGUGACCCAGAAGCUUCCGGGUGACACAUUUCAGGGCAAACCCCACCAAAAUUACCACGACUGAUGGCAGUGACCUUACUGGCUUACUGGAAAUUAAGUGGUCUCUGGGAGCAGAGGAGUGGACAGAUGUCCACACUGCGACAUGCAUGUGCGGCAAACUCCUAGGACUACACAGGCAUAAAAGGAUGUCUGGGAGAUGGACUGUGCACGGGAAGUGCUCUCACUGAAGUUGAGCGGCUUAUUUUAGCCAAAAACGUAGUUAACAUGGCCUCCAUUUUUUCAGGCACCAUUUAGAUGAAAGCACGCUAGCAAGAAACCACAGGCACCCUGCGGCAGGGCUUCAGCCCAGGGUAUCUGCGCUGGACGCUCGCUCGUAGCGUACCUUCAGCUGCAGCCUGAGAGAAGGCUGGAGGACUCCAAAUGCAGGUGGUUGGCACCAGCCGGUCUUCCCACUGGGGAAGGGGGAGUGAGGGACAGAUGUGGGGUUUCCCCCCUUGCUCGGCUGCUUUCUGAGGAAUGAACAGGCUCAUCUGCUCCCAGCAGGCACCUGAGCACAGGACCUGUCUGCGAACCCCAGGAAGCAUUUCUAAAAAGCUGUAGAAGACUAGCUGUGUUGCAUGUCUCAGAAGAGGUGUCCGUACAGCUACAUGCAGGCGAGCCAGACGCAAGGAUUGUUUAUAAAAAAAUAAAUCUGGUACCUGUUGAUAACAGCAUGGACAAAUGCGCCCAACGGGCUGCCACGUGUGGACAGAAACUGGAGAGGAGGCAAAAGAAGGUGGUUGCAGCAACAGGGGAGAAUGAGGAAGACCAGCAUGAGACCACAAGGCAGCAACAUGAUCAGAUAACUUGCUGAUAGAGGCUGUAUUUGCCGAGCAGAUCCAGCUGGCACCGUCUCAAGUCAGCCUAGGUUCAGGUGGCAGCGCUCACAUACCACGGCCUCUGCCUCCAUCCAGACCCUGGCAGCCGUUCAAGUAUCUCAGAAAUCUUCCCUGGGCAGACUGCAAGGGAAGCAGAGACAAAGCAUGUGGCAGGCCGGGAGGGAACUGCGCUUCAGGACUCCCUUUCCCUUUGCGAGACCUUUUGUGUUGUAUGGUACGAGCUAGCAAAAUCACCAUUCGCAACCUCAAAUAUUAAACGCUGUUCUAGGAGUAACAGCAGACCCUGCCUCUGGAUCUGGGUUAAGGGUGCAGGACUGGAUGAGGUGCCUGGUGAGGACAGAGGCAGAUAGUUCAGUGGAAGAGUGCUUUUAGAAUUCAGUUUAUAUUUAAAAGGGGAAAUAAGUGAAUAUAUAGGGUCUGAAGAGAAACAACCAGGCAGCAGGGAGCUAGAAUUCCUGGGUGCUAUCUGUUGGCCACCCAGAAUCCUGUGUGACCCAGUGGAAAGCCCCCUCAGAGAUCUGUCCUCAAAAACCCUGCAGGGAUGGGAAGGGGGAGAACUGUUCUCAAAAGGACUGCCAGGCCCCACGGCAAGGGAGAAGACAGGACCUCAUCUGAACCCUCUCUCCAGACAGCUAGAAAGCCGAAGGUCCUGGAAAAAGAAAUAAGCUUGAUGCUUUUUGAACCUCUCUGGCUCCAGACACUAACCCUAUUUAGCAAACCAUGCGUUCAGUUAAUUGCAGAACAGAGAACCUGUACCUGUAAUUGCAGAAAUGUAAGAUAUCAUAAAGUGCUCAACAGAGAUGACAAUUGGAUAAUUUUGCUUCAAAUAACAUUAUUUUUGCCAAACCUCUGCUCUCAAUUUUAUCUAUUAACUGAAAUCCACUCCCCAAAUUGUAAAUCUGUGAUAUCUGAUGGGCUAAUCCAAGUUUUACACAGCGAUAGCAUCAAGAGUUUUUAAAUUCACCAAGGCUUAUCUAAGUCUCAGGUUGCUUGGUUUCCUCUGAGUCUGGAAAAGUUUUCCAAAACUCCGUUCCCUUCUGGUGUAAAUAUUGUCCGGCAGCACCAGCGAGGCUUUCCAAGGGGAAUUGGGACAGACUAGGGCUCCUGUCCCUUUGAACCCCCGCCAAGCCCAUCUUAAAUUACAAAUUUAGAGAUUAGUGUGGCCCUGCUAUUGAUGAGAGUUUAAAAAGGUAAAGUACAAUGACACUGAUCUUCUGUUUAAUUGCCGCACAAAUCUGAUAAUUGGAUACAGAGGAUUCAAAUAAAAGCUGGGUAUUUGACAAUAAAAUAUCAGGAGGGAAAAAACAGCUAUGCAAAAUUACUGCGUUUUCAGUGAUUCCUGUGAAAUAGAUGAAAAUGAUCCCGAGAUUUAAUUACUGUCUUGGAAAAUACUCUUGCUACAAAUAAGAAAUCAUGAUAAAGGAGAAUGUGAAUCUUCUUAUGUCUAAACAAUGAACAACCAUUGAAACAAAGAACAAGGAAGCUUAAUACUUCAAUUGCCACAUCAGUCUUCAUAGUCAAAACGUACGGAAGCACGGGACAUGAUUUACUUUAGAGCAAAAUGUUGGCACUAAUAAGUAGGUAAAAAUCACUGGAAAAUAUGGCAAAACCAAAUAACUCCUAGGCUUCAAGGCCUGAAUGAAUCACUUCUGUCAUUCAGUCCAACUGCCCGGAGAGUCUUGUGUUUAUUCUUUUUAUACUGGUUUCAUUUAAGGAACUGACUUUCCAAUUUCAUAUCAUCACAUCAGGAUUUAAGGAUGUUUAUUUAAUGGCAAUUUGGAGAGUUUAAAAACCUUUUGCAGCCCAGCUACUGCCGUUCUUACUCUGCAGGAAAGCACUUUUUUGGAUGCGUCACCUGAGUAUUUCAGUUUUAGAUUAAAGGCCUCCUCCCUCCUUUGAACUUUGCAGACUCCAGGGACUGCCAGCACCAGUCUUAACCAUGCUUUAAGUAAAA